GAUUAACGCUGGCGGCGCACAUAAGACAUGCAAGUCGAACGGAAGUCGUUAUAACUCAGAACGAAGAUUUAUCUGAGGGACGAGAUAUAACAAUGGCUUUAGUGGCGGACUGGUGAGUAACACGUAAGAAACCUGCCUAUUAGAGGGGAAUAACAACGAGAAAUCGUUGCUAAUACCGCAUAAGCUAGUAGUACCGCAUGGUACAGCUAGAAAAGGAGAAAUCCGCUAAUAGAUGGUCUUGCGUCCGAUUAGCUAGUUGGUGGGGUAACGGCCUACCAAGGCAACGAUCGGUAGCCGAGCUGAGAGGCUCAACGGCCACAUUGGGACUGAGAUACGGCCCAGACUCCUACGGGAGGCAGCAGUCGGGAAUAUUGCGCAAUGGAGGAAACUCUGACGCAGUGACGCCGCGUAUAGGAAGAAGGUUUUCGGAUUGUAAACUAUUUUAGACAGGGAAGAAAUUGACAGUACC
rnacentral:rRNA from 1 species